rnacentral:rRNA from 1 species
AUUGAACGCUGGCGGCAGGCCUAACACAUGCAAGUCGAGCGAGCGGCGGACGGGUGAGUAAUGUCUGGGAAACUGCCUGAUGGAGGGGGAUAACUACUGGAAACGGUAGCUAAUACCGCAUACCAUCAGAUGUGCCCAGAUGGGAUUAGCUAGUAGGUGGGGUAACGGCUACCCUAGGCGACGAUCCCUCGCUGGUCUGGGAGGAUGACCAGCCACACUGGAACGGAGACACGGCCCAGACUCCUACGGGAGGCAGCAGUGGGGAAUAUUGCACAAUGGGCGCAAGCCUGAUGCAGCCAUGCCGCGUGUGUGAAGAAGGCCUUCGGGUUUUAAAGCACUUUCAGCGGGGAGGCGUUACCCGCAGAAGAAGCACCGGCUAACUCCGUGCCAGCAGCCGCGGUAAUUC